rnacentral:tRNA from 1 species
AAGGAUUUAAGUUAAAAACAAACUGACAGCCUUCAAAGCUGCUAAUAGAAAGGUUUCUAAGCCUUA